CGCGCACCGAGUCGCCCCCACCCCUCCCGAGGCGGUGGGUGCGGACAAUGGCCCCCCGUGCCCCCGCGCGCGGCCGGCCCAAAUCGAGGCCCCGGGAGGCCGACGUCACGAUCCGUGGUGGCUGUAAAAGACAAACCGGAUCCCGUGCACGCCUUGCCGCUCCCCCGGGCCACAGCGACCCCAAAAGGGCCGUCUCCGGACAGCGCCCACUCU
rnacentral:rRNA from 1 species